GCAAGUCGAACGAGAAAGGGAUUGCUUGCAAUCCCGAGUAGAGUGGCGCACGGGUGAGUAACACGUGGAUAAUCUACCUUUGAAUCCGGGAUAACUGCUCGAAAGGGUAGCUAAUACCGAAUGAAGUCAAUGUUUCUUCGGAAGCUUUGAUGAAAGACAGCCUCUGCAUGCAAGCUGUUGUUUGAAGAUGAGUCCGCGCACCAUUAGUUUGUUGGUGGGGUAACGGCCUACCAAGGCUGUGAUGGUUAGCUGGUCUGAGAGGAUGAUC
rnacentral:rRNA from 1 species